UACGUAGGUGGCAAGCGUUGUCCGGAUUUAUUGGGUUUAAAGGGUGCGUAGGCGGUCUAUUAAGUCAGUUGUGAAAUACGGCAGCUCAACUGUCGAGGUGCAAUUGAUACUGAUGGACUUGAGUACUGAUGAGGUAAGCGGAAUGGACGGUGUAGCGGUGAAAUGCUUAGAUAUGUGGAGGAACACCAGUGGCGAAGGCGACUCUCUGGUCUGUAACUGACGCUGAGGCGCGAAAGCGUGGGGAGCAAACAGG
rnacentral:rRNA from 1 species